rnacentral:lncRNA from 1 species
AAGAAUCUCACAUCAUAACCCCAAAUGACCUGUUACUCACCAUGUGGCCCAGCUGUCUUCAAACUCACCAGCCUCCUGCCUUAGCCUUCUAAAUGCUUGGAUUACAGGCAUGACCCACCAUAACUGGCUUUGUUUUAGUUUCAGAGAAGAUGAAACUGAUGUGCGUCAAAAAGGUAAAUGUCACAUGACCCAUCUUAUGUUGAAUAAAACUAUUCUAUGAUUCAAUCUGUAUAAGCUUCAAAGAUAAAUUAACUAGCAGCACAUUUUUAUUAUUGUUUGUAUAGUAUGUUUGAUCAAAUUCCUUCCCCUCCCCAAACUCCCUCUAGAUCCUCCCCAUCUCUCUAUCCACCCAACUCUUUGUUCUUUAUCUCUCCCAAAAUAAAGAACAAAACAAGAAAAAACAACAACAAAAAAUGAAAGCAUGUGCGUGCAAGCACACCCCCCCAUACACACACAAACACACACACAAACAUACACACACACAUACACACACACACCACAUAAAGUCUAUUUUGUGUUGGCCAACCAUUUCUAUGCAUGAAGCCUGAUGCAUGAAGCCACAAAAAUUGGCUGAUAUACUCUCUCUCCCUGCACUGCUAUGAAAUAGCUCCUCUUUCCUGUAAUCUUCUCAUGAGAGUUGGGCAUCUCCUGUCUCUGACUCAGUCUGUCAAAUCUUUCUCUGACUCAUUACUUUGUCUGCCCCCUUAUGGAGGCUGGGAAGACCUAGAAUGUGGCAUCACUAUUUGGUAAGAACCUUCCUAUGUCAUUGUAGAGUGAGGGACUUGGGUACCACAUGGCAAGGCAUAGUACCCAAAUCCCUUUCCUUCAUAAAAGUAUUAAUGUCAUCAAAGAGGCCCCACCACCAUGAUGCCAUCUGGGGCCUCAUGACCCCAAUGCCUGAUGCCAAAGACUCCCACCUCAAAAUACUUUUUUCUUCAGCAUAACAUUUUAUUAAUUAUCUGGGAAUUUCACAUCAUGUACUCCAAUCACACUCAGUUCCCAGUCCUUCCAUGUCAGCCCCCACCCUUGUUACUUGCCCCCCAAAAGAGGAAAAUUAAAACUAAGAAUUAAAAAAAAUUAAAAAAAUUAAAAUACACAAGUCCAAUUUAUGUUACCUAUAUACUCACUGAAGCAUGGUCAGAUUCUCAGUGGCCUGGCCCUUAAAUAGAAGUGAGUCUUCCCCCUCCUGCAUCUGAAGCCAUUAAUUGCGUAGAGCUACACUUCAACAUCUACAUCACACUUUCAAAGAGUUCUCUUCAGUGGAUUCCUGUUCUAGACCAUUACUUUGGAGACAGGGGUAGGGGAUUGUCACAAAAAGCCUUCCAUGUCCCUUCGUCUCAGUUGUACACCUGCAGUCAUCAAUAUCCCAGUGUAACUAGUCCCCUUGUUCUUCAUAGUUAGUGGA